ACUCUCUCACUCUGCAUGGCUACACUACAUGCAGUCUCCCGUGUGACUUUCGUACUGGGAGAGAGAGAAAGCGAGUUCCUCCAGUACUUUGGAUUGGCUUCACAGUAGCCUUUCUUGCCUAGAGGAGCACCACAGGU
ensembl:snoRNA LOC120102004 small nucleolar RNA SNORA64/SNORA10 family